CAGUCGCCACGGUAAUACAGAGGGUGCGAGCGUUAAUCGGAUUUACUGGGCGUAAAGUGUGCGUAGGCGGCUUCUUAAGUCGGAUGUGAAAUCCCUAAGCUUAACUUAGGAAUUGCAUUCGAUACUGGGAAGCUAGAGUAUGGGAGAGGAUGGUAGAAUUCCAGGUGUAGCGGUGAAAUGCGUAGAGAUCUGGAGGAAUACCGAUGGCGAAGGCAGCCAUCUGGCCUAAUACUGACGCUGAGGUACGAAAGCAUGGGGAGCAAACAGGAUUAGAGACCCCGGUAGUCCCUGUCUCUUAUAC
rnacentral:rRNA from 1 species